GGAUAACUUGGGGAAACCCAAGCUAAUACCGCAUACGACCUACGGGUGAAAGGGGGCUUUUAGCUCUCGCUAUUAGAUGAGCCUAAGUCGGAUUAGCUGGUUGGUGGGGUAAAGGCCUACCAAGGCGACGAUCUGUAGCUGGUCUGAGAGGAUGAUCAGCCACACUGGGACUGAGACACGGCCCAG
rnacentral:rRNA from 1 species